AACGUGAUCAGUAGUUUACUGAAAUUUUUCUUCAGGAGUCUCACUGAUCCGCUUUUCACUGACAAGAAAUACAGUGAGUUUAUCAGUGCCAACAGAGCCACAGAUUCAGUAGCGAGACUAAAUGCCCUGAAGAAUCUGGUCCUCGAGUUGCCAGCACAUCAUCUCGAAACUCUAAAGUUUCUUAUAGCUCAUCUUAAAACAGUGGCCCAGAACUCAGAGAAGAACAAGACCCACACUGGUUCGUACCUCUGAGGAAAACCUGGACAUCAUGCUGAGCCACAUGGCAGAUCAACAACAGAUCAUAGAGACUCUAAUCCAGGAGUAUGACCUCUUCUUCAGUGAAUCAAGUCCUCAACUCUAUACGUCAAUCAAUCUGCCCACCCAUCCUGAUCCAUCCAUCUAUUCAUUUAUCCAUCUGUCCACAUAACUACCCAGACUUCCAUUCACACAAUGGAUGAUCAAGAUCAAGAAUGCAGUUGAGACUCAGUACAUUCACCAGUGGCUCAACACCAUCAACCAGCAGCAACUGAAGAAUCAUCAAUACCAUCAAUCUAUAUCACUAUACAGUAUCUUCUAACAAAUAACAUCACC